GGCCGUCAGAAGGACUGAGUAGAUUAAUCCUGAGAAGUGCUCAGAACCAUGCCUGGCACAUAGUGGGAAUUCAGAGGCUGAGGCUGAGGCUGAUGAAGGCUGUGGGAAUAAUGGGAGCUAGAGAAAGGGGUCUCUGCAUCUUCACCUUUGCACAUCUGGUGUGUGUGCUCCUGCACCAAUGGAAGACAUGCGGGCAUGGCUGCCCCUGCCCAGGCAGCCAACUGGCUCAGUCCCUCAGCCCUGCCAGGCCAUUGAAUAAUUAAGCUGGCUGAGGGGUGACAGGGCUGGAAAGCCAAAAGUGACCAGGGUCUGGCCUUGCUUGGCUUUGGUGACGCGAUGGCCCUGGGAUCAUGGCCUUCUUGAACCCAUAAACAGGGGGUUGGGCCCCAAGACAGGCAAGGCCAGGCCAAGGUCUGUGCUGGUGGCCUCAAGCUGAAGUCAAGUAUGGACAGGAAGGGGGGUGCUCCAAGGCUACAGGAAAGGGAGUGCUAUGGAGCGAGAGUUUCUGUCCAUCGGCGCAACCCCCAUCCACUCGCACUCUGGAAUUCCAUUUCUUUCUUCCCAGUCCUCUCUCAAUUUUCACCUCCAAUUUAUUGAGCACUUAUUGCAUGCAGGACUCUGCCAAAGUACUUUACACAGAUCUGGUUCCUGCCCCCGCUCUCGCAUGAUGGGAAGUUCUGUCCCCUCCCGGAAUGAGCGAAGCCCUGUUACUUGGACUCCCAUCGCACCAGGAGACACAGAAAAGUACAAGGAAGAAAACAGAAAAGGUGACCCAGAGAGAGCUACUCUCAGAUGUUCACGGGAAUUCAGCUCAGCUCACGCAUUUAUAUUGAGAUCCUACUGUUGUCUGCUUUCUCAUUUUUCAUGAAAAUAAAACUUGACUCAAAGUUUCAUUUUCAAAUACCUUUGCUUAUUACUAUUAUUUGAAUACUUACACAUUCAAAAGGUUCAAAAGGUGUCCAGGGAGAAAUGAGGCCACCUCGCACUCCAGCCUCUGUUGAUCGUUUCUUGUGUGUCCUUCCUUCCCUGGGUCUAAGUCCUCUGCAGACCCCUGACUUCCAGCUCUCCUGCUCCUGUUCAUUUUGAGGUUCUUUUUUUAUUCACUCGAUUAUAAAUCAUGACAUUAAACCCUAACCCUAACCCUAAAAAAAAAAUAAGAAAACAAAAUUGUGACAUUAUUUUUAAAAAUCAGAACCUACAGACAAUCAAGAGAGGAACAUCAGGGAAGUGGAAUGAAGCCAGGUGUGGUGAUGCACGCCUGUAAUUCCAGCACUUUGAGAGGCUGAAACAGGAGGAUUACUUGGGUGCAGUUCAAGACGAGCCUGGGUAACAGUGAGAUCUUCAUCUCUACAAAAUUAAAACAACAAAAAAAUUAGCUGGAUGCGGUGGUACACACCUGUGGUCCCAGCUCCUCGGGAGGCUAAGGUGAGAGGAUGGCUUAAGCCCAGGAGGUUGAGGCUGCAGUGAGCCACGAUCAUGCCACUGCACUCCAGUCUGGGCGACAGGGAGAGAUCCCCUCCCAAAACCCAACCAAAUGAACAAACAAAUAAAAAAGGAAAGUAGAAUCUCUUGAAACCUUACUACCCCUUUGACAUUUUGGAGCACAUCCUCACAGGUCACUUGAUGUAUGUGCACAUUCUGGUAGCACCAGGUAUCUUUCCCUAGUGCUGAUCAAAGGUUUGGAUGACAUGUUUGUGUACCGAUCUGAUUGUUAUCUGCCUUCCCCACUGUGCAGUCAGUUCCAGGAGGCAGGCAGGACCGCGUCUGAGUCUUCCACACCAUAGUAGGUCCAUAACGAAUAUUAUCUGAAUGAAUGAGUGACUAGUGAAUUUUCAGAAGGGAUCGUACAGUAUAUAAUACUAUCCUGUGACCUAUUUUUUCACUUAAUGUUUUGGGGACAUCUUUCCACAUCUCCGCGUGGCGAAUCUCCAUUUUUCAUGUCUGCACAGAAUCACCACAAUAAACAUCUUUUUGAUGUUAGCCAGAAGCUUCUGCUGCCCCCAACCGGGAAGCUCUUUUUCAAAUGCAGAUCUGUUAACAAAUUCCAUAUGACCCACCCACGCCCCAGCCCUCUGGCCGAUUACUUUCAGUCUAACACUUCACUGGUUACACGGGCCCAUUGUUUUCUGGGACAAGUCAAGAUUUACUGUCUGUUCCUGACAUCAUGUUUUUCCAGAGAAGCUUAAGAGUGAAGAACUCUUCCCUCCCUACCUCCUGUUUCCGCCAGCUAAGGGUUCUGUAGAUUUGCUGAAGUUGGGAAACUUGGUGUAACCCUUGCCUCCCUGGCCACCUCACCACCAAGGGCACAGCCAAGCUCAUUCAUUCCUGCCUCAGGGCCUUUGCGCCGGCUGCUCUCUGUGCCCAGAAUACCCUUCCCUCCCUUAUUUGCUCAGCUCACUCCCUUACUGCUUUAGAUCUCUGCUUGAACGUCACCUUCUCAGAGAGGUCUUCCUCAACUGUUUUUCUACGUUAGCAUCUCCAAGUCACUUAUCCAGUGUUAGAUUUCCUUUUAAACGUUUUACUUGAUAUUGUAUUAGAUCAGAUUAUAUUAUGUUGUGCUGUGUUAGAUUAAUAUUUUGGGCUUUUAAAAUUGAUCGCCCACCUCCUCCACUCUGAGGACAGGGACUUGGGACUCUCUUUUCUUUUCUUUUUUUUUUUUUGAAACAGGGUUUUGUUCUUGUUGCCCAGGCUGGAGUGCAAUGGCACGAUCUCGGCUCACCACAACCUCCACCUCGUGAGUUCAAGCGAUUCUCCUGCCUCAGCCUCCCACGUAGUUGGAAUUACAGGCUUGCGUCACCACGCCCAGUUACUUUUUGUGUUUUUAGUAGAGACAGGGAUUCUCCAUGUUGGUCAGGCUGGUCUCCAACUCCUGACCUCAGGUGAUUCCCCCGCCUUGGCCUCCCAAAUGCUGGGACUAAAGGCACGAGCCACGGUGACUGGCGAGACUGUCUUUUCUUUCCUGCAGUAUCCCCAGCACUGGAAACAGGGCAUGGAGCAUGGUGGGUGCUUAGGAAAUAUUGGUUGAGUCGAUCCAUGUUAACUCCAGACUCCAAGGUUUCUUCCAAGCCUGAGAGCCCAAUGCCAUCAUUCAUUCAUUCCAGAUUUAUCUAUGGAGCACCUGCUGUGUGCCAGGGCUUGUUCAGAUGCUGGUGUUGUUCAGUACAACAGUGGACAAGGCAGACACAUCCUUCAGUAACAUCCCCUGGAAGAAUGUGCUCGGGGUCCAGGAGACACGUGUCCCUCAGAUAAUGGCACCAAGUUGACUUGCUGGCCUCAGGUUGGUGAAGUGAGGACAUGUCUCGAGGUCCCCACUCUCAGCCUCUGCAGAGCUGGGUAAGCCCUAAAGGUGACACAAACGGGAAUGGCGCUGCUGUCACCUUUACCUCUCGCUGCUGUUCUCUUGCCCCCAGUGGAGGAGAAACGAAGAAGGCGAUGCUAGAAACCUUUCGGGAUUCUUCCCACAAGCCCAGCCGUCUUUGUGAGGAGCUGACCUUUGCCCACUUUCUGGCUGCCCACACCCUGCAGUCACCCUUCAGGGAAUUUCCUACUCGCAGCUCUCAUCUCUCAAAGGACCCGCUAGAAAACUCGCUUUCCUAACCUCCCUAAGCAGCUCAGGUGCAGGCCUGCGACAUGGGCUCCCCUGAGGGAGGCCUCCAAUUAAAAAAUAAUAGGACAGAAGAGGUGGGAAAAAGAACCUGGGUCUGGAGGACGCAGUGGUGGCAUCCUUGGGAAGAAGUGGGGCUCACUGGAGCAGUUCUCCAUCAAAUUCCAGCCUGAUUCCUAGCUGCGUAGCCCCCAGUCCUGACUCGGUAAGCCCCCUGAGGGUCCUCCAGACCACCCAAUAAUCUUUAAUAAACUCCUUUCCUGUGUAAACUAG
ensembl:lincRNA